UGCACCAAAAAAUUAUAAUUGUCAUCUAUACUUUCACAAUAUUUCAUAAUCUGAUAAUGUACACUGAAAUGAAGCUAAUAUACGACAUGAGAUUAAAUAUAUCAAAAUAAAGAGAGUACAAUAUUUUUUUCAAAAACAAGAAUCUUCGUGGAAAAUUCAGCAAAAGUCUCUUAUAUAUUAGCUUCGUUCCCAACAUAUCCUGGCACAAAAUUAAAACAAGAUCUGUCAUGAAAACAUAUAAACCAAUCAUGUCAACAAAGUAUUUCUUACACUUCAAACAAAAUUCCAACUAAUUGCACAACAUAUAUUACUUCAAAAGUAUAUUUCUUUCAUUAAAAUCAAUAGACCAAAUAAAAGUAUAGUAUACAUAUAUAUAUAACACAAAUUCAUAUUAGUAAACCAAAGUUGCAGAAUAUUACCUCUACUUUUUAUAUGUAACUAAGAACGAGAUUCGCCCACUCAACACGAACUUCAUCAAUAUCCUCUUUAGUAUA
rnacentral:lncRNA from 1 species